GCAUCCAAAAACUUGAUCACAUCUGAUUAGUUACCACCCCACAUGAUCCCAUGUUUAAACAGAAAGAGAGUUAGGUUUUAGGUAGGAAUCCAAGCUCCCUUGGACUCUAGAAUUAUUGCCACCACAAACCUUCUCCUUUUGCACCUAGAUAUCACAUGGAGAAAAGGAGUUUUUCCAUGAAUUCUUAUAUGCAAAAGAAGAGAGAGCGUUGGGUAUAUGUGGCAUCCAAAAUCUGGUAGG
rnacentral:lncRNA from 1 species